rnacentral:rRNA from 1 species
AUUGAACGCUGGCGGCAGGCCUAACACAUGCAAGUCGAACGAGUGGCGGACGGGUGAGUAAUGUCUGGGAAACUGCCCGAUGGAGGGGGAUAACUACUGGAAACGGUAGCUAAUACCGCAUACCAUCGGAUGUGCCCAGGUGGGAUUAGGUAGUGGGUGGGGUAACGGCUCACCAAGGCGACGAUCCCUAGCUGGUCUGAGAGGAUGACCAGCCAAACUGGAACGGAGACACGGUCCAGACUCCUACGGGAGGCAGCAGUGGGGAAUAUUGCACAAUGGGGGCAAUCCUGAUGCAGCCAUGCCGCGUGGAUGAGGAAGGCGUUCGGGUUGUAAAGUACUUUCAGCGAGGAGGCGUUACUGGCAGAAGAAGCACCGGCUAACUCCGUGCCAGCCGCCGCGGUAAUUC